rnacentral:rRNA from 1 species
UACGGGGGGGCAAGCGUUGUUCGGAAUUACUGGGCGUAAAGGGCUCGUAGGCGGCCAACUAAGUCAGACGUGAAAUCCCUCGGCUUAACCGGGGAACUGCGUCUGAUACUGGAUGGCUUGAAUCCGGGAGAGGGAUGCAGAAUUCCAGGUGUAGCGGUGAAAUGCGUAGAGAUGUGGAGGAACACCGAUGGCGAAGGCAGCCUCCUGGGCCAAUACUGACGCUCAUGCACGAAAGCGUGGGGAGCAAACAGA